CUUUGAGAAAGGAUUUAUGUUGACCGCUGUGAAGAGGGAUUACAUCUCUGCAGCGAAGUUAGCCAUAAUAAUGCGAUAAAGCCAUGGGAUACUGUGGCCCAAGCUAAGACUUAUAUUGAAAAAUAUGAGUUUCCCUGAUACCAUCAGGCUAGGCUAACUGUGCAACAUGCUAUGGUACACAAAAACAACUUAGCUGGUUCGUCCGACAAGAAGCUCUAAUCGUAAGAUUAUCUCACCAGUGGUAUUAAGCCUGAGAAACUUGAUGCCCGGUAACUCACAGGAAGGAUUGUGUCUUGAAGCUACGGAAGUAGUGUAUAAGAACCAGGAAUAAGGUAUGAGUAGCCGUGUGACACACAAGCACAAAAGGUUAUAACGUUCGACUCGUUACUCGAAAAAGUUAAUUUGCUGACGUUCGGUGAAAGUUGAAGAGCACUAAAUCUCUUCUGUUGUUCGUUGGGGUUCGCCCCUUCAAUUUGAGAAGCCUCUGGGUCGCUCCCUCUGGUUCAGCCUCAAGUUAAUAUGUGUGAAUAUUGUGGAAUAGUAAAUGUUGUAAGAUGAAUAAAAGUCUCAUAUAGAUCAUUUCUCAA
rnacentral:ncRNA from 1 species